rnacentral:rRNA from 1 species
CCAGACUCCUACGGGAGGCAGCAGUGGGGAAUAUUGGACAAUGGGCGCAAGCCUGAUCCAGCCAUACCGCGUGGGUGAAGAAGGCCUUCGGGUUGUAAAGCCCUUUUGUUGGGGAAGAAAUCCAGCCGGCUAAUACCUGGUUGGGAUGACGGUACCCAAAGAAUAAGCACCGGCUAACUUCGUGCCAGCAGCCGCGGUAAUACGAAGGGUGCAAGCGUUACUCGGAAUUACUGGGCGUAAAGCGUGCGUAGGUGGUUAUUUAAGUCCGUUGUGAAAGCCCUGGGCUCAACCUGGGAACUGCAGUGGAUACUGGAUGACUAGAAUGUGGUAGAGGGUAGCGGAAUUCCUGGUGUAGCAGUGAAAUGCGUAGAGAUCAGGAGGAACAUCCAUGGCGAAGGCAGCUACCUGGACCAACAUUGACACUGAGGCACGAAAGCGUGGGGAGCAAACAGGAUUAGAUACCCUGGUAGUCCACGCCCUAAACGAUGCGAACUGGAUGUUGGGUGCAAUUUGGCACGCAGUAUCGAAGCUAACGCGUUAAGUUCGCCGCCUGGGGAGUACGGUCGCAAGACUGAAACUCAAAGGAAUUGACGGGGGCCCGCACAAG